rnacentral:tRNA from 1 species
GCUAGCGUAGCUCAAUUGGCAGAGCAACACGCUUAUAAUGUGUGGGUUGGAGGUUCAAUUCCUCUCGCUCGCU